rnacentral:rRNA from 1 species
AUACGGAGGGUGCAAGCGUUACUCGGAAUCACUGGGCGUAAAGCGCGCGCAGGCGGCUUGAUAAGUUGGAUGUGAAAGCCUACGGCUCAACCGUAGAACUGCAUCCAAAACUGUCAGGCUAGAGUGUGGGAGAGGAAGAUGGAAUUAGUUGUGUAGGGGUAAAAUCCAUAGAGAUAACUAGGAAUACCAAAAGCGAAGGCAAUCUUCUGGAACACUACUGACGCUGAGGCGCGAAGGCGUGGGGAGCAAACAGGAUUAGAUACCCGAGUAGUCC